rnacentral:rRNA from 1 species
UUUAUUAGAGAGUUUGAUCCUGGCUCAGGAUUAAUGCUAGCGGCGUGCCUAACACAUGCAAGUCGAACGGUUCCGAUUGCCAUUUGAGAACAGUUGUUUUUUUACAGCUGUUUUAAUUUAGUAAUCGGGAUAGUGGCGAACGGGUGAGUAAUGCGUGGAUAACCUGCCUUCAAGAGGAAGAUAGCUUCGUGAAAACGGGGGUAAUAUUCCAUAAGACCCUCCCCUGCUGUCUUGCGACAGCAAGACGGGGGGGUAAAAGUCUCCCGAUUUAACAUCGUGGGACACUUGAAGAGGGGUUCACGUUCUAUUAGCUAGUUGGUACGGUAAUGGCGUACCAAGGCGAAGAUGGAUAGCCGGCUUGAGAGAGUGUACGGCCACACUGGGAUUGAGAUACGGCCCAGACUCCUACGGGAGGCAGCAGUGAGGAAUUUUCCGCAAUGCCCGAAAGGGUGACGGAGCGACGCCGCGUGGGUGAUGAAGGCCUUCGGGUUGUAAAACCCUGUUGUAAAGGACGAUAAUGACGGUACUUUAUGAGGAAGCAUCGGCUAACUCUGUGCCAGCAGCCGCGGUAAGACAGAGGAUGCAAGCAUUAUCCAGAAUUACUGGGUGUAAAAUGUGUGCAGGUGGUUUUAUAAGUCAAAUGUGAAAUCUAGAUGCUUAACAUCUAAAUUGCAUUUGAUACUGUUUAACUUGAGUUCUGGUGAGGAAAGUGGAAUUCCCGGUGGAGCGGUGAAAUGCGUUGAUAUCGGGAGGAACACCGAUGGCGAAGGCAACUUUCCAGCUUGAAACUGACACUGAAACACGAAAGCUAGGGGAGCAAACAGGAUUAGAUACCCUGGUAGUCCUAGCCGUAAACGAUGGAUACUGGGUGUAGGCUCUUUAUGGGUCUGUGCCGAAGCUAACGCGUUAAGUAUCCUACCUGGGGAGUACAGUCGCAAGACCGAAACUCAAAGGAAUUGACGGGGGCUCGCACAAGCGGUGGAACACGUGGUUUAAUUCGACACAAAGCGCAAAACCUUACCGGGGUUUGACAUGCUGAUAGUACAAUCCUGAAAGGGAAAGGAGUCGCCUUUGGCGACAAUCAGCACAGGUGCUGCAUGGCUGUCGUCAGCUCGUGUCGUGAGAUAUUGGGUUAAGUCCCGUAACGAGCGCAACCCCUAUCCUCAGUUGGUCGCCUUUGGCGACAUCUCUGAGGAAACUGCCUCAGAUAAUGUGGAGGAAGGUGGGGAUGACGUCAAGUCCGCAUGGCCCUUAUAUCCCGGGCUACACACGUGUUACAAUGGAGCCGACAGAGAGUUGCAAGACCGCAAGGUGGAGCCAAUCUCUAAACGGCUUCUCAGUUCAGAUUGGAGGCUGAAAUUUGUCUCCAUGAAGUAGGAAUCGCUAGUAAUCACGGAUCAGCAGGCCGUGGUGAAUACGUUCCCGAGCCUUGUACACACCGCCCGUCACACCAUGAGAGCUGGUGGUACGUGAAUCCCACGAUUAAAAUCGGGGGGCAGUGUAAAACCAGUGAUUGGGGUGAAGUCGUAACAAGGUAGCCGUAUCGGAAGGUGCGGCUGGAUCACCUCCUUUCU